AGCAUCCAUCCCACUCCCUCUAGUACUGGUCCACAUAGAAGAUGAGCUGUUUUUGUGUGUCAGUUAGCUCAAAUGGCAGAGCUCCUAUGGAAUGCUGGGCAAGUCACUUACACCAGAUUUUCACAGCUGGUCUCUAAUUGUGAGUGCUCAUUUUCUGGAUGCCUGCCUUGACACCUGCAAAUCGGACUCCUAGAAAUGCCGAGCACUCACAGCUGCAAUAGAAGUCAACAGUAGGUCUGCUUUGAACAUUGCUAGAGUUACUCAGUGGUAGUGUUACCUGCGGUUUUCGGAACCCACAACAGCGGCAAUUUAACUAUUCCACUCCAGGCGGUGUCAGGAAUAAAUCAAUAAGAAC